AGGAUGACCUGGAGGUUACAGGAACUGUUUUGAAUGUUGUAUGCCAAGUUGCGGGAGACCUGCUAAUCAAACUGAGUGAAGCUUUGGGCAACAUUAAAUUAGACUUGUCUGGGACAGUGGGUGGUCUGAAAAACCUGCUAGGCUGAAGGAUUUUCACG